GGGCACGUGGGGCCCUUUCGUCCCCGGCGUCCGGGCGCCCUGCAUGGAUCCCCCACCCCAGCUCCUGCUCCCCGGCGGCGGCCGGUGGGCAGAAAGACCGAAACCCACUCACGGCCGCCUGCCGAAUCGCGGCUCUGCUGUUUGUGGGGCGUGCUAGAAACGUGGUCCUAAAAAGAAUGGCGUCCAUUUACAUAAUGCUUUGUUUGCGUUUCGCAAGUUUCUUUCGGUUAAAGCCACAGAAACCCCACCUCCUGCCCUUGUGUCGUUUCCACCGCGGCACCCUUUUCCGACAUUAGAAACAAUAGUGUACGCCUGUGGAGGCCUCGUUUGUUCAGGGGCUGCCGGCCAGGGCUUCAGGACGUUUCUGCGGCUUUCCCCGCGCGGCCUGGGCUCCCGCGGCUGCUUUUCGGGCCCAUGGGCGCAGCCACUGCGCCAGGCUCAAGGGGGGCGGCCCCGUCAGGGCCCGCCAUCUUGGAAGGCCUUUUUUGCCGGUUCUUCCCGCUGAGGAAGUGUCGCUCAAGACGCUGGCCUAUGAGUUGUGAUUUCUGCCUUUUCCCCUUCCUCCUUGGGCUAAGCCAGACCAGAAAGGGCCCCGUGCGCAACGUGCUUCACAAUCUCUCAGGGAAAGCGGCUAACGUGGCGCUACUCCGCCUCCCCUGUUCCUUACCCUUGGGGCGGCCGCCAUGUUUCCUGAACACAAAAUGGCGACACGUGGUUAGCAUUCGUCGCCAACGAGAAAUUGGGGUCGGCCCGAAAGCUCUAGAAUGCACCCCUCUUCCUCCCCGGGGCCUUCCACCUCCGCGAGUUUUAUGACUUAAAAAAGCCCACAGGCUGGUCUGAAGGUCGGAGGCCUAAUUUUAACGCGUUUUCCUCCCUUUAAUUUGAAACGGGAACGCGAAUGACUGUAAAAUGUGGGCACAAUAUUUAAUCUCUCGCCUUUUUAAAGCUUAAUAGUGGAUAAUAGGGGGGCAGUAUCAAGGGAUAAUUUGGGUCCCCACAGUACCAAAGCAUUUAGAAACCUCUGUUUAAUUUAAGGAAUGAGAUAAGUUACUGCUUUUCUAGACUUCCUAGCAUGGGCUGUUGUGCUGGAGAGAACGAGAGCUACGAAGAGACUACAGUGCCUCUGACUUUUUCAUAGGACAGUUGGCCGGUGAAUCUUAUUAAUAGUUUACCACAAUUAAGUGUUCAUUUUUAGUCUAGAAGGGACAGGCGUUUAUUGUGCAUUGGCCAGUGCCAGCACAUCCGAUGCAAGGCAGUUCACCGUAUUCUAUCUUUAAUUUUUACCAUGGUCCUCUGAGGUAGGUGUUCUUAUCUCUCUCUCUCUCUCUCUCUUUUAAACAGAGGAAGACAAACAUAAAGAUGAAGUGCUUAAUUCAAGGUCACACAAUGUCGGGGAUGGACCUCCAGAUUUCCUUACUGACCUGCAUUAUCUUGUGGAUACCUGAGUGAAUUCCACACCACCCAUUUUAUAGAUGAAACCACUGAGACAUGGAGCAAUUGACUGAGUAGUCACUGCCCCACCCCUGCCUGGAGCCUCACACAUGACUCGCCUCCUCUCAGUGACCACAGGUGAGACGUGGUCUUGUAACACAGUGGUUAAGAAUGUGACUUUGGAGCCAGCCUGCUAGGGGCUGAAUUCUGACUCAGCCAUUUACUAACUGUGUGACCUUAGUCUGUCUAGUGACUGGUGUUGUCAUAAGAAGAGAGGGACACAGAGGGAAGAUGGCCACAUGAAGAUGGAGGCAGAGAUUGCAGUUAUGCUGCUGCAAACUAAGGAAUGGCUCUGGCCCUCCAAGGAUUGCUGAUAACCACCAGAAACUAGAAGAGACAAGGAAGGAUUCUUCCCUAGAGC
rnacentral:lncRNA from 1 species